GACGAACUGCCCAAACGUUGUUCGGAAUCACUGGGCGUAAAGGGUGCGUAGGUGGUGAGGUAAGUCUGAUGUGAAAUCUCCGAGCUCAACUCGGAAAUGGCAUCGGAAACUACCUCGCUAGAGGUUUGGAGGGGGGACUGGAAUUCUCGGUGUAGCAGUGAAAUGCGUAGAUAUCGAGAGGAACACCAGUGGCGAAGGCGAGUCCCUGGACAACACCUGACACUGAGGCACGAAAGCUAGGGGAGCAAACAGG
rnacentral:rRNA from 1 species